rnacentral:rRNA from 1 species
GACGAACGCUGGCGGCGUGCUUAACACAUGCAAGUCGAACGGAAAGGCCCUGCUUUUGUGGGGUGCUCGAGUGGCGAACGUGUGAGUAACACGUGAGUAACCUGCCCUUUACUUUGGGAUAACUUCAGGAAACUGGGGCUAAUACCGGAUAGGAGCUCCUGCUGCAUGGUGGGGUUUGGAACGUUUCGGCGGUUGGGGAUGGACUCGCGGCUUAUCAGCUUGUUGGUGGGGUAGUGGCUUACCAAGGCUUUGACGGGUAGCCGGCCUGAGAGGGUGAACGGCCACAUUGGGACUGAGAUACGGACCAGACUCCUACGGGAGGCAGAAGUGGGGAAUAUUGCACAAUGGGCGGAAGCCUGAUGCAGCAACGCCGCGUGCGGGAUGAAGGCCUUCGGGUUGUAAACCGCUUUCGCCUGUGACGAAGCGUGAGUGACGGUAAUGGGUAAAGAAGCACCGGCUAACUACGUG